CAGUCGAGCGGCAGCGGGACCUUCGGGUUGCCGGCGAGCGGCGGACGGGUGAGUAAUGCCUAGGAAUCUGCCUGUUAGUGGGGGAUAACGCGGGGAAACUCGCGCUAAUACCGCAUACGUCCUACGGGAGAAAGUGGGGGACCUUCGGGCCUCACGCUAACAGAUGAGCCUAGGUCGGAUUAGCUGGUUGGUGGGGUAACGGCCCACCAAGGCGACGAUCCGUAACUGGUCUGAGAGGAUGAUCAGUCACACUGGAACUGAGACACGGUCCAGACUCCUACGGGAGG
rnacentral:rRNA from 1 species